GAUGAAGAACGCAGCGAAAUGCGAUAAGUAAUGUGAAUUGCAGAAUUCAGUGAAUCAUCGAAUCUUUGAACGCACAUUGCGCCCGCCAGUAUUCUGGCGGGCAUGCCUGUUCGAGCGUCAUUUCAACCAUCAAGCCCCCCCGGCUUGUGUUGGGGACCUGCGGCUGCCGCAGGCCCUGAAAAGCAGUGGCGGGCUCGCUGUCACACCGAGCGUAGUAGAUCUCAUCUCGCUCAGGGCGUGCUGCGGGUUCCGGCCGUUAAACCACCUUCAUAACCCAAGGUUGACCUCGGAUCAGGUAGGAAGACCCGCUGAACUUAAGCAUAUCAAUAAGCGGAGGGA
rnacentral:misc_RNA from 1 species